UACGGGGGGUGCGAGCGUUGUCCGGAAUCACUGGGCGUAAAGGGCGCGUAGGUGGUCUGAUAAGGGUGUGGUGAAAGCCCGGGGCUCAACCCCGGGUCGGCCGUGCCGACUGUUAGACUAGAGUGCUGUAGGGGCAGGCGGAAUUCCGGGUGUAGCGGUGGAAUGCGUAGAGAUCCGGAGGAAGACCGGUGGCGAAGGCGGCCUGCUGAGCAGUUACUGACACUGAGGCGCGACAGCGUGGGGAGCAAACAGG
rnacentral:rRNA from 1 species